rnacentral:lncRNA from 1 species
AGAUCUCAAGUAUACCUUCAGAGAAAUGCCAGCAAAAACUGUAGUCAUUUGGGAAGGAAUAAGCCUGGAAGAAAAAGAUACAACGAACUAGCACAACGAGGCGUAAAACGCUGGAGGAGAAGUCAGUAGCAAGCAGCUAAGACAACAUGGUACAUGUGGCUAGAAGCCCACCAACUGCUAACAACCAGCUGGAGGGUUUGGCCUGAAGAACACUUCCUCAAUAAGUCCCUUGUCCUCAGUUUCUGACUUAGGCUCUGCUUCUGGAUAACCCAACAUAAAAUGAAGAAAAUUUGAGUUCCUGGCCAUACUUCUGGUUAUCACACCUAAUGAUUUCUGAUCUUCACAAUGACUCUUCGAGGUAGGGAUUACUAAUCCCAUUUUAUGAAUUAUUACCUUAAUAAUAAUUCAGGUACACUGAGCCAGAUUCAGCGAAAAAGGUAGGGUGCAGAAAGAUAGUUCAGAUAGAUACUGAACUGCUUCAGUGGUUCCUAUGGAGGAACUGAUCAAGGCUGCCUUCAGCAGGAAGGUACUUGGCGACCCAACUCCAGGGCCCUAGGCUCUAACUUCUCACAAACCAGUUCCUUCAGAGGGAAGGCAGAGGUGAGAGGACAGAAGCUGUAUCUUUUCUCAAUCCAUGUUACAUGGUCACUCUUCUAAACCUUUGAAAAUUAAUCUUAGUCAUUUCCGAUGUCUGGCAGGUGGAAUAUGUUAAAUAUGUUUUCAAAUUAACAUAUACCUAAGGAGUCCAGGUUCUAGAUCGCAGUGCAGUUUCUCUCGGUUUGGAGUCUUCAUUAUUUGUCUGUUUCCCUGGAGCUAGGAUUCAUCCCUGUAGUGAGCCUUCUGACUGCAGCUGAUAGCAUUCCUCUACCACACCUUCCGAUGGGGUGGUUCAGGACCAAGAGUAGAUUCAUAAAUACACAAGCCUGGACAUCUGAAUGAGUUGGGACUUUCUGGAUCAAUCAUCCAGCCUUGAGGUAAGCUUUCAAGUGACUAACAAACAUGGCAAGCAUGUGCUGCAUAGGAACCUACUGACCAGAUGGAAGAAAACUUAAUUGAAUACAGAGUCCAUUUUCAAAGUUUAGAAUAUGGUGUGUUGAGAUACGUUUGUUAGUUUUCUCCUUUCUGCUAGGGGACGCUGUUGAGGAAGCAUUGUUAAAGUCUCUCUUCCCACUGCUGUCGUGUCUAAGUUGGAGUCUCCUAAAGAGCCUAAAUGGUUGUGGAAGCUCCUCAUUGGAGGGUUGAGCUUUGAAACAACCGCUGAGAGCCUGAGGAGCCAUUUUGAGUAAUGGGGAAAUGCUCACAAACUGUGUAGCAAUGAGAUCCAAACACCAAGUGCUCCAGAGCUUUUGGGAUUGUCACAAAUGCCACUGUGGAGGAGGCAGAUGCAUGCAUGGCCACACAAGGGGAUGGAAGAGUUGUACAACCAAAGAGCUAUCUCAGGAGAAGAUUCUCAGAGACCAAGUGCCCACUUAGCCGUGAAAAAGAUAUUUGUUGGCGGCAUUAAAGAAGACACUGAAGAACAUCACCAAAGAGAUUAUUUUGAACAGCAUGGGAAAAUUGAAGUGAUUGAAACCAUGACUGACCAAGGCAGUGGCAAGAAAAAGCGCUUUGCUUUUGUCACCUUUGAUGGCCAUGACUUCGUGGAUAAGACUGUCAUUCAGAAAUACCACAUUGGGAAUGGCCACAACUGUGAAGUUAGGAAAGCCCUGUCAAAGCAAGAGGUGGCUAGUGCUUCAUCCAGGCAAAGAAGCCAAAAUUGUUCUGGAAACUUUGGUGGUGGUC